rnacentral:rRNA from 1 species
ACCCAGACUCCUACGGGAGGCAGCAGUGGGGGAUAUUGCACAAUGGGGGGAACCCUGAUGCAGCGACGCCGCGUGGGUGAAGAAGUAUUUCGGUAUGUAAAGCCCUAUCGGCAGGGAAGAAAUUGGACGGUACCUGACUAAGAAGCCCUGGCUAACUACGUGCCAGCAGCCGCGGGAAUACGUAGGGGGCAAGCGUUAUCCGGAUUUACUGGGUGUAAAGGGAGCGUAGACGGUUCUGCAAGCCAGAUGUGAAAGCCCGGGGCUCAACCCCGGGACUGCAUUUGGAACUGGAAGGCUAGAGUGUCGGAGAGGCAGGCGGAAUUCCUAGUGUAGCGGUGAAAUGCGUAGAUAUUAGGAGGAACACCAGUGGCGAAGGCGGCCUGCUGGACGAUGACUGACGUUGAGGCUCGAAAGCGUGGGGAGCAAACAGGAUUAGAUACCCCAGUA